rnacentral:lncRNA from 1 species
AAAAUAGCCUGCAUUCAGGACAUGCUGGGAUUAGCCACAGAGGGAAUCCUAGACAUUUAAAAACUGUAAGAGACCUGUCUUAAGAAAGAUGGAGGUGGCCCCCAUCUUCCUUCCACGUGCUGCUCUGCCAAGGUACAGGACAUCCCAGUCUUGCUGUAUUCUGCCAGAGAAUUACAGCGGAAAGGAAUUUGUACACUACAACAGAAGCUGAAAAGAAAGAAAUCAUCUGUGUUUUCUCAUUCUGAUCAACAUCUCCAAGCUUGGGCUCAGUCUGCCAAUAUCUCCUGCCUCAUGAGUGAUAGCACUGCAGAGUGGAAUGGAUCACAUUCAAAAAGCUGGUCUGUACAAGCGUUUUAAGGUAAUUUGGCCAACAAAAGCUGCUGCUCAAGAACAUUUGAGAAACACCAUCUCAGAUUGAUGUGCCUUGCCAGAUGUGCUCAGCAAAUGACUUUCCCUGGUGCUGUUUUAAAAGUCUUUAGUAGAGUUGUGCAAUUCACACUAAUUCUGAAGAAGUCUCUUGGAACAUGCCAAAGAUAAAGAGUGCAUUUUCCAGACUGCAACAUUUUCCAGGUAAUUUGGGUUAUAAGAAAACAGUUACCUGAUCACCUCCAAUCUGAGUUCAAACAGAAUAUGGUACACCAGAUCUUAAAAUGGGACAGCUUUGUGUGGUAUGAUAAAUGACUUUACAGAUGCAUGGAAAUUCAAAAUUUAAAUCCAUUUUUCAAGCAUGUUGGAGAGAGUAGUGAAAAAUAGCUUUACACCCCACUCAUCAAGGUUAUGGCAUACACUUAUGUAAAGUGUGAUUUAUCUGCUGUCUUGCAUAUAUUCCUUUGGGGCCUGAGAUCCAGGUUUAAGAGAGAGGAGAGCUGAAAUGUUGUUGUCUGAGAGAGUGUUCUAUUUUUUGAAAUGCGAUAUAUAUAGCAGAUUUCAGCUGUAAAUAUGUAACAAUAGCAACAACACUUGAGCUGUUCACACCAUUGUGGAAAACAGAAAACUUCUGCCAUUUAUCACUCAGCUUGAACCAAUACUUUUACAUUUCAGAGUCUUGGUUCGGAGCAAGCCUUUUCUGGCUUUAAUUUUCAAAGAUUUUAUUUUAUUUCUGAUCAAAGCGAUACAAAAUGAGCCACACUGAACUUAGCCAAUGUAUCACUACUAAAACUGGUUUCCAGAUAGCUCAUUUUCAUUUUCUGUAAAUCAAAUUACAAUGGUUAGUCUUAUUGUGUGGUUUGCAUGAUUGCAAGAGAAUUUAAAAGCAAACUUCAACACUCAGCAAAUUCAUGGAAAUCCAAUGACAAACUUACUGAGCUAAAUGCAGCUAGAGAAUGUUGAACAUGGGAGACUUCAGUCUAACACAGCAU